GACGAACGCUGGCGGCGUGCUUAACACAUGCAAGUCGAACGGAAAGGCCCUGCUUUUGUGGGGUGCUCGAGUGGCGAUCGGGUGAGUAACACGUGAGUAACCUGCCCUUGACUUUGGGAUAACUUCAGGAAACUGGGGCUAAUACCGGAUAGGAGCUCCUGCUGCAUGGUGGGGGUUGGAAAGUUUCGGCGGUUGGGGAUGGACUCGCGGCUUAUCAGCUUGUUGGUGGGGUAGUGGCUUACCAAGGCUUUGACGGGUAGCCGGCCUGAGAGGGUGACCGGCCACAUUGGGACUGGGAUACGGCCCAGACUCCUACGGGAGGCAGCAGUGGGGAAUAUUGCACAAUGGGCGGAAGCCUGAUGCAGCAACGCCGCGUGCGGGAUGACGGCCUUCGGGUUGUAAACCGCUUUCGCCUGUGACGAAGCGUGAGUGACGGUAAUGGGUAAAGAAGCACCGGCUAACUACGUG
rnacentral:rRNA from 1 species